ACGGAAUAGAUACCCAGGUAGUCCCAGCCGUAAACGAUGCUCGCUAGGUGUCAGGCAUGGCGCGACCGUGUCUGGUGCCGCAGGGAAGCCGUGAAGCGAGCCACCUGGGAAGUACGGCCGCAAGGCUGAAACUUAAAGGAAUUGGCGGGGGAGCACAACAACGGGUGGAGCCUGCGGUUUAAUUGGACUCAACGCCGGACAACUCACCGGGGGCGACAGCAAUAUGUAGGCCAAGCUGAAGACUUUGCCUGAAUCGCUGAGAGGAGGUGCAUGGCCGUCGCCAGUUCGUACUGUGAAGCAUCCUGUUAAGUCAGGCAACGAGCGAGACCCGUGCCCACUGUUACCAGCAUGUCCUCCGGGACGAUGGGUACUCUGUGGGGACCGCCGAUGUUAAAUCGGAGGAAGGUGCGGGCCACGGUAGGUCAGUAUGCCCCGAAUCUCCCGGGCUACACGCGGGCUACAAUGGAUGGGACAAU
rnacentral:rRNA from 1 species